GCCUGGGUGGCUCAGUUGGUUGAGCAUCUGACUUUGGCUCAAAUCAUGAUCUUGUGGUUCGUGGGUUCAAGCCCUGCAUUGGGCU
rnacentral:tRNA from 1 species